rnacentral:lncRNA from 1 species
UCGACCCUGAAGGACUAUAGGUUGGCCAUCAUACGGGAGAUCUCUUCUUGGAGCAUCUUCUCCCAUUCAAUUGCCACCUGAAGCUAUUCAACAGCAGCAGUCUUUUCGGUAUUGGCAGCCGCCACCUUGUCCAUCCAUGCCUGGUGAAGAUCGAUGAUUUUUCAAUAUCCGCUCUCUAGACCAUACAUAUCGUACGCCCACUGAAAGAAAAUGACAAGUCAAGUCAGAUAAAAAAAAAGAAAGAAAGAGAAGAGGAAUGUCGGAAACUUACCCCAAGCAUCGUCAGGUAAAAUAAAGAAAAUAUUUCAGACAUCGUCUGAUUUCUCCUAUUCUCCUUAUCAGUCGGGAGAAGUGCAGCUUCGAUGAGUCAUCUGGCCAAUGAUAGAUUGGCCAAGGCUGACUCACCAAUAGGGAUACGAAUGUUGAAGAGGGUGGGGAGGCCCACAGAUGACCCAUCAUCGACAGAAGUAGCCGGCACCUUCCCUUGGUCCCC